rnacentral:tRNA from 1 species
GCGAGAGUGGCGGAACUGGUAGACGCGCUGGUUUUAGGUACCAGUGGUUCAUCCGUGGGGGUUCGAGUCCCCCCUCUCGCACCA